rnacentral:rRNA from 1 species
CCUACGGGAGGCAGCAGUAGGGAAUAUUGCUCAAUGGGGGAAACCCUGAAGCAGCGACGCCGCGUAGAGGAUGAAGGUUUUCGGAUUGUAAACUCCUUUUGUUAGAGAAGAUAAUGACGGUAUCUAACGAAUAAGCACCGGCUAACUCCGUGCCAGCAGCCGCGGUAAUACGGAGGGUGCAAGCGUUACUCGGAAUCACUGGGCGUAAAGAGCGCGUAGGCGGGAUAGCAAGUCAGAUGUGAAAGCCUAGGGCUUAACCAUAGAACUGCAUUUGAAACUGUUAGUCUAGAGUAUGGGAGAGGGAGGUGGAAUUCUUGGUGUAGGGGUAAAAUCCGUAGAGAUCAAGAGGAACACUCAUUGCGAAGGCGACCUGCUAGAACAUAACUGACGCUGAGGCGCGAAAGCGUGGGGAGCAAACAGGAUUAGAUACCCGUGUAGUC